UACAGAGGUGGCAAGCGUUGUUCGGAAUUACUGGGCGUAAAGGGCGCGUAGGCGGCCUUCUAAGUCGGACGUGAAAUCCCCAGGCUUAACUUGGGAACUGCGUCCGAUACUGGAGGGCUUGAGUGCGGGAGAGGGAUGUGGAAUUCCAGGUGUAGCGGUGAAAUGCGUAGAUAUCUGGAGGAACACCGGUGGCGGAAGGCGGCA
rnacentral:rRNA from 1 species